GAUGAACGCUGGCGGCGUGCCUAAUACAUGCAAGUCGAGCGAACGGACGAGAAGCUUGCUUCUCUGAUGUUAGCGGCGGACGGGUGAGUAACACGUGGAUAACCUACCUAUAAGACUGGGAUAACUUCGGGAAACCGGAGCUAAUACCGGAUAAUAUUUUGAACCGCAUGGUUCAAAAGUGAAAGACGGUCUUGCUGUCACUUAUAGAUGGAUCCGCGCUGCAUUAGCUAGUUGGUAAGGUAACGGCUUACCAAGGCAACGAUGCAUAGCCGACCUGAGAGGGUGAUCGGCCACACUGGAACUGAGACACGGUCCAGACUCCUACGGGAGGCAGCAGUAGGGAAUCUUCCGCAAUGGGCGAAAGCCUGACGGAGCAACGCCGCGUGAGUGAUGAAGGUCUUCGGAUCGUAAAACUCUGUUAUUAGGGAAGAACAUAUGUGUAAGUAACUGUGCACAUCUUGACGGUACCUAAUCAGAAAGCCACGGCUAACUACGUGCCAGCAGCCGCGGUAAUACGUAGGUGGCAAGCGUUAUCCGGAAUUAUUGGGCGUAAAGCGCGCGUAGGCGGUUUUUUAAGUCUGAUGUGAAAGCCCACGGCUCAACCGUGGAGGGUCAUUGGAAACUGGGAAACUUGAGUGCAGAAGAGGAAAGUGGAAUUCCAUGUGUAGCGGUGAAAUGCGCAGAGAUAUGGAGGAACACCAGUGGCGAAGGCGACUUUCUGGUCUGUAACUGACGCUGAUGUGCGAAAGCGUGGGGAUCAAACAGGAUUAGAUACCCUGGUAGUCCACGCCGUAAACGAUGAGUGCUAAGUGUUAGGGGGUUUCCGCCCCUUAGUGCUGCAGCUAACGCAUUAAGCACUCCGCCUGGGGAGUACGACCGCAAGGUUGAAACUCAAAGGAAUUGACGGGGACCCGCACAAGCGGUGGAGCAUGUGGUUUAAUUCGAAGCAACGCGAAGAACCUUACCAAAUCUUGACAUCCUUUGACAACUCUAGAGAUAGAGCUUUCCCCUUCGGGGGACAAAGUGACAGGUGGUGCAUGGUUGUCGUCAGCUCGUGUCGUGAGAUGUUGGGUUAAGUCCCGCAACGAGCGCAACCCUUAAGCUUAGUUGCCAUCAUUAAGUUGGGCACUCUAAGUUGACUGCCGGUGACAAACCGGAGGAAGGUGGGGAUGACGUCAAAUCAUCAUGCCCCUUAUGAUUUGGGCUACACACGUGCUACAAUGGACAAUACAAAGGGCAGCGAAACCGCGAGGUCAAGCAAAUCCCAUAAAGUUGUUCUCAGUUCGGAUUGUAGUCUGCAACUCGACUACAUGAAGCUGGAAUCGCUAGUAAUCGUAGAUCAGCAUGCUACGGUGAAUACGUUCCCGGGUCU
rnacentral:rRNA from 1 species